UGGGGAAUAUUGCACAAUGGGGGAAACCCUGAUGCAGCGACGCCGCGUGAACGAAGAAGGUAUUCGUAUCGUAAAGUUCUGUCCUAUGGGAAGAUAAUGACAGUACCAUAGAAGAAAGCUCCGGCUAAAUACGUGCCAGCAGCCGCGGUAAUACGUAUGGAGCGAGCGUUGUCCGGAAUUAUUGGGCGUAAAGGGUACGCAGGCGGUUUAAUAAGUCGAAUGUUAAAGAUCGGGGCUCAACCCCGCAAAGCAUUGGAAACUGAUAAACUUGAGUAGUGGAGAGGAAAGUGGAAUUCCUAGUGUAGUGGUGAAAUACGUAGAUAUAGGAGGAAUACCAGUAGCGAAGGCGACUUUCUGGACACAAACUGACGCUGAGGUACGAAAGCGUGGGGAGCAAACAGG
rnacentral:rRNA from 1 species